UUGAUUCUUUGUUCGUUUGACUUUUUUACAGUAUUUGCGAGUAUUUAAAAAAUAAAUUAAAAACUAAUAACAUCCACUUUGAAAUGGUUCAGUUUAAUUGUUGCGAGAUAAGAUCGACAUGGGUUCAAAAGCAACAGCAAUCGAAUUGGCUUUCGUCAUGCAAUCAAACAAUUAUAAGAGCACAGAUUUCUAAAACCAAAUUCAUGUUUGGUUUGUUUUUAAUUGAUAAGCAAAUAAAACACACAUAAUCACACUACACAUUUAUUAUAUUUGGAAGAAGUAUAAAUAUGAAAAAGUGUAUUCAUGAAUGAAAUUCAUUUAAUCUAUAAAGUGUAGUCAAUUCACACAAACUACAACAGAAGAUACGCUCGGAAGUUACACAGCAAAACUGGUAAAAAUCUGUAUAACAAAUAAUAAUUAAUUAAAUUUCUAAGAAUGCGAAAUCGAACAACAUUUAUACGAAUAAUUGACUAUCAACUAUGAAUCAUAAGUUCGUUUUUCAAUUUCAAAUAACCUUCCUUAUACAUUAUUACAUUGAGUCUGGUAAACUUUCAUAGAAAAUAAAUAAAUGUGGCAGCUCAAACAUUAUCAAAACUAAAUAAAAAUAAAAAAAUGCAUUACGUGCUCAAAGAAAAAUCUGUCAGUUUGAAAUUUAAUUUUCUAAAAAUCACAAAAAUAAGUUAAGAUUAGAUAAAAAAAAAAAAAACGAAGUUCGACACGUUUCAGCUAAAACCGAUCAAAUAUAAAACUACUUUAAACGAGUACUCGUAAAGAAAAGCAUACAAAGAUGUAUAUUUAUUCAUAUGAGAUAUUCUUGUUCUUUGGCAUGCUCUGCUUAACUGUGCUCUGUUGUGUGAACUAUGGAAAACUCGUAUACCGGGUGGGACUUUAUUAAUGUACAUAGUUUAAAGAUAAAGCAAUCAACAAUCGUGAUGUUGGCACACUUGCAUUGGGAAUUGCGCAAUCCAUCAUGCUUGCUUUCAGCAAUAUGACUAAACUGAUAGGCAAAAAAGAAAACUAAUAAAUAAUUUAGUGGGAUAUUAUCAAGAGACGCAAGACAUUUGAAUACCCUAUGUUAAAUGUACCACAAUUUCCAAUGGAUGAAGUUUUUAGUAACAAUUGUACAAAUAAAACGCCAAAUGUGAGAUUUCUUCUAAAAGACUAACAACAACAACAAAAUAAUUUGAUAAGGAAUUAUUAUUACACAAUUAAACAAAUAAAACGACAAUUGUCAGAACUC